rnacentral:rRNA from 1 species
UACAGAGGUCUCGAGCGUUUGUUCGGAUUCAUUGGGCGUAAAGGGUGCGUAGGUGGCGUGGUAAGUCUGGUGUGAAAUCCCGGGGCUCAACCCCGGAACUGCACUGGAUACUGCCAUGCUUGAGUACUGGAGAGGAGAUUGGAAUUUACGGUGUAGCAGUGAAAUGCGUAGAUAUCGUAAGGAAGACCAGUGGCGAAGGCGAAUCUCUGGA